AUUGAACGCUGGCGGAAUGCUUUACACAUGCAAGUCGAACGGUAGAGGGGGCAACCCCUCGAGAGUGGCGAACGGGUGAGUAAUAUAUCGGAACGUGCCCAGUCGUGGGGGAUAACGUAGCGAAAGUUACGCUAAUACCGCAUACGAUCUACGGAUGAAAGCGGGGGAUCGCAAGACCUCGCGCGAUUGGAGCGGCCGAUAUCAGAUUAGGUAGUUGGUGGGGUAAAGGCCUACCAAGGCGACGACGGGUAGCAGGCGUGAGAGCGUGACCUGCCUCACUGGGACUGAGACACUGCCCAGACACCUACGGGUGGCUGCAGUCAUGAAUAUUCCACAAUGGACGAAAGUCUGAUGGAGCGACGCCGCGUGCAGGAGACGCCCUUCGGGGUGUAAACUGCUUUUAUAAGGGACGAAUUACGUGACGGUACCUUAUGAAUAAGUGGUUGCUAACUCUGUG
rnacentral:rRNA from 1 species